rnacentral:lncRNA from 1 species
UUUUGUGUAAGUGUCCCAUUUAUGCCAAAACUUAAAAAGAAAUCUACUAAUGCCUAAAUAUAAAGCCUAAUCCAACCAGAAAUAAAAUGUUACUCUACUCAACCCACCCUACCCAGCCCAUUCGGCCCGAUUACAAAUAGAAAAAAAAAAAGAAAAAUCGAUUACCAUCUUUCUUUCUCCUCUCACUCAAUCCAUUGAAAUUCUAGACGAAUAGCCCUUCCCUCUCGUCCUCCUCCACUACCGCAGCCAACGAGGUAGAGUUCCGGUGGUUGCUAAAUGGUUAAAUAAGUGUUGGUAAAUUAGCAGCACUUUUUUUAGGUUAUAGCGGCACUCUUUAACUGUCACUAUAUACCUAGCGACCCCACAUAUAGCAACA